rnacentral:rRNA from 1 species
GAGCACGUAGGUGGGUUUGUCGCGUCGUCUGUGAAAUUCCGGGGCUUAACUCCGGGCGUGCAGGCGAUACGGGCAUAACUUGAGUACUGUAGGGGUAACUGGAAUUCCUGGUGUAGCGGUGAAAUGCGCAGAUAUCAGGAGGAACACCGAUGGCGAAGGCAGGUUACUGGGCAGUUACUGACGCUGAGGAGCGAAAGCAUGGGUAGCGAACAGGAUUAGAUACCCUGGUGGUCCAUGCCGUAAACGGUGGGCACUAAGUAGAGGGG